rnacentral:rRNA from 1 species
GAUGAACGCUGGCGGCGUGCCUAACACAUGCAAGUCGAGCGAUCUUCUUCGGAAGAGAGCGGCGGACGGGUGAGUAACGCGUGGGUAACCUGCCCUGUACACACGGAUAACAUACCGAAAGGUAUGCUAAUACGAGAUAAUAUACUUUUAUCGCAUGGUAGAAGUAUCAAAGCUCCGGCGGUACAGGAUGGACCCGCGUCUGAUUAGCUAGUUGGUAAGGUAACGGCUUACCAAGGCGACGAUCAGUAGCCGACCUGAGAGGGUGAUCGGCCACAUUGGAACUGAGACACGGUCCAAACUCCUACGGGAGGCAGCAGUGGGGAAUAUUGAACAAUGGGCGAGAGCCUGAUGCAGCAACGCCGCGUGAGCGAUGAAGGCCUUUGGGUCGUAAAGCUCUGUCCUUGGGGAAGAAAAAAAUGACGGUACCCUUGGAGGAAGCCCCGGCUAACUACGUGCCAGCCGCCGCCGUAA